rnacentral:rRNA from 1 species
UACGAAGGGGGCUAGCGUUGCUCGGAAUCACUGGGCGUAAAGGGUGCGUAGGCGGGUCUUUAAGUCAGGGGUGAAAUCCUGGAGCUCAACUCCAGAACUGCCUUUGAUACUGAGGAUCUUGAGUUCGGGGAGAGGUGAGUGGAACUGCGAGUGUAGAGGUGAAAGUUCGUAGAUAUUCGCAAGAACACCAGUGGCGAAGGCGGCUCACUGGCCCGAUACUGACGCUGAGGUGCGAAAAGCGUGGGGAGCAAACAGG